rnacentral:lncRNA from 1 species
CAGAGCAUCAAUAUUCUUAUUUUUUUUUCAUUGAAAAUAUAAUUGAAUUUAAUAUCAGAAUAGAAGUUCGGAGCAUCCUGCAAUCAUUAAUCAUAACAGCAAAAAGUAUCACAAAAUGAAACAUUUGGAACAAGAGAAAUAACUAUAGUAGAACCAACAUCAAUUUCAAGAUAUGAAAUGCUCAAUUCAAUGCUAGCUUAAGGCCAUCCCACAAUGCCCAAAGUUUAGCUUCUAUGUUGCUAGCCUUGGAUAUGUUGACAAGAAGCGUUCACCUGGUCGCCAUUGUGAUCCCUGAUAAUUUCUCCCAAUCUUGCUCUUCCAAGAUUACCGAUCUAGGAACCAUCAGUAUUUAAUAUUUUCCAAUCUUGACCAGGCGGUUGCCAUCUAACAACCAUUGCCGAAGGUGGAUAUCCAGUUUGAUUGCAAAGGAGUUCGUAAAAAAUUCACUUACCCUGCCAAAUCCCUAAGCCCCACUUUUCCUGUUUAAUAUUUUUGUUGAAGAUCAUAGCAUUUCUUAGCAGCCAUAUUUCCCAUA